GACGAACGCUGGCGGCGUGCCUAAUACAUGCAAGUGGGACGCAAGGAAACACACUGUGCUUGCACACCGUGUUUUCUUGAGUCGCGAACGGGUGAGUAACGCGUAGGUAACCUGCCUAUUAGCGGGGAUAACUAUUGGAAACGAUAGCUAAUACCGCAUAAUAUUAAUUAUUGCAUGAUAAUUGAUUGAAAGAUGCAAGCGCAUCACUAGUAGAUGGACCUGCGUUGUAUUAGCUAGUUGGUAAGGUAAGAGCUUACCAAGGCGACGAUACAUAGCCGACCUGAGAGGGUGAUCGGCCACACUGGGACUGAGACACGGCCCAGACUCCUACGGGAGGCAGCAGUAGGGAAUCUUCGGCAAUGGACGAAAGUCUGACCGAGCAACGCCGCGUGAGUGAAGAAGGUUUUCGGAUCGUAAAGCUCUGUUGUAAGUCAAGAACGUGUGUGAGAGUGGAAAGUUCACACAGUGACGGUAGCUUACCAGAAAGGGACGGCUAACUACGUG
rnacentral:rRNA from 1 species